rnacentral:rRNA from 1 species
AGAGGGGUGCGAGCGUUAAUCGGAAUUACUGGGCGUAAAGGGUGCGUAGGUUGAAAUUAAAGUUGGAUGUGAAAGCCCCCGGGGCUUAACCUGGGGAAAGCCAUUCAAUACUGAAUAUCUAGAGUACAGAAGAGGAGAGCGGAAUUUCCGGUGUAGCGGUGAAAUGCGUAGAUAUCGGAAGGAACACCAGUGGCGAAGGCGGCUCUCUGGACUGAUACUGACACUGAGGCACGAAAGCGUGGGGAGCAAACAGGAUUAGAUACCCUGGUAGUCCACGCUGUAAAUGGUGAGAACUAGCUGUUGGGUGCAUGGCACUUAGUGGCGAAGCAAACGCGAUAAGUUCUCCGCCUGGGGAGUACGGCCGCAAGGUUA